rnacentral:rRNA from 1 species
UACAGAGGGUGCGAGCGUUGUUCGGAAUUAUUGGGCGUAAAGGGCGCGUAGGCGGUGCGGUAAGUCCGCAGUGAAAUCUCUGGGCUCAACUCAGAGUCUGCUGUGGAAACUGCCGUGCUAGAGUGUGGGAGAGGUGAGUGGAAUUCCCGGUGUAGCGGUGGAAUGCGCAGAUAUCAGGAGGAACACCAAUAGCGAAGGCAGCUCGCUGGGACGUUACUGACACUGAGGCGCGAAAGCGUGGGGAGCGAACAGG